UUCAUUAUUCUCACCCAGUGGUCUCCAAACUCAGGUGUGUGAGAUGAUCCCAGGGGGUGCGCGGCAGCAGGAGCACCACUGGACGGCACUCCGCCUUUUUUUUUUCUUCUGUGGCAGCUCUGCAAGUCCAUGGCUGAUGUUCCCCUCCGGCGGCCCGCCUGUGGCAGGUCUUCCAGCCUUCUUCCGUCGGAGGUGUGC